rnacentral:rRNA from 1 species
AUUGAACGCUGGCGGCAUGCCUAACACAUGCAAGUCGAACGAGUGGCGGACGGGUGAGUAAUGUCUGGGAAACUGCCUGAUGUAGGGGGAUAACUACUGGAAACGGUAGCUAAUACCGCAUACUAUCGGAUGUGCCCAGAUGGGAUUAGCUAGUAGGUGGGUUAACGGCUCACCUAGUCGACGAUCCCUAGCUGGUCUGAGAGGAUGACGAGCAAGACUGGAAAUGAGACAAGGGCCAGAAUCAUACGGGAGGCAGAAGUGGGGAAUAGUGCACAAGGGGCGAAAGCCUGAUGCAGCCAUGCCGCGUGUAUGAAGAAGGCCUUCGGGUUGUAAAGUACUGUCAGCGGGGAGGCGUUAGUCGCAGAAGAAGCACCGGCUAACUCCGUGCCAGCAGCCGCGGUAAUAC